rnacentral:rRNA from 1 species
GUAGGUGGCAAGCGUUGUCCGGAAUUAUUGGGCGUAAAGCGCGCGCAGGUGGGUUCGUUUAAGUCUGAUGUGUAAAAGACCCCCGGGCUCAAACCCGGGGGAGGGUCAUUGGAAACUGGGGAACUUGAGUGCAGGAGAGGAAAGUGGAAUUCCACGUGUAGCGGUGAAAUGCGUAGAUAUGUGGAGGAACACCAGUGGCGAAGGCGACUUUCUGGCCUGUAACUGACACUGAGGCGCGAAAGCGUGGGGAGCAAACAGGAUUAGAUACCCUGGUAGUCCACGCCGUAAACGAUGAGUGCUAAGUGUUCGGGGGGGUUUCCGCCCCUCAGUGCUGCAGCUAACGCAUUAAGCACUCCGCCUGGGGAGUACGGUCGCAAGACUG